AUUCAAUUAGGUCUCAUACUCUCAUCUUUGAAUAAUAAGCUCACUACUAUACUAUAUAAGUAAGGUAAGGAAACAUAUUUAGAAAAUUCGUUAUCAUAUAUGGAAUAAUCAGAAGAAGAACCUAAAUUAAAAAAAAAAUUACAAGAAGAAAAAGAGAAAUCAUUGACGAAGAAGACUGUAACCAGGAUAAAAACAAAUGUGCCGAUCAGAUCUCCAAUCAUCACGCGUCUGUUAAUAAUCUGAAUAGUCAACGCUAAAAGAUGUCUUGAGUCUGUCUGACCAGUGAAGUAAACUACUACUACUUGUCAAUAAGAGGCGGCAAGCACAUCGGACGGUCCUUGUUUUCCCUGUUAAUUAUAAACGGUCACCAUCUCUUUAGACAUAAUAUAUACUACUAGUAGUGGAGUGUUUUUGUUAAUUAAAGUGAUUAAACACCAAUUCUAGGUGUUAACCAAAAGAUAAAACGAUACAGUAAAUAUAUUCUUGUGAAUUCUAUAGUAUCAUAAUAUUAUUCCUUUUUUAUUUCACUUUUGAUAACUAUAAAAUCUUUGGCAAACUAAAAUAUCAUUAGAUUAUUCCUUUUUAAAUAGCUAAGGUAUAAUUUCUGAUUUAGCUUUGCUAUCACAAUGUUCAAUUUGUCUAAAGAUCCGUUACCUCUCUAUGCGAGAGAAGCUGUGAGAGAGUUUCCGACAAGUAACUAGGAGAUCGUAAUUCUUGUCUGAAAAACAACUUUUUUUAUUCGAAACUUCUCUCACAGAUUUUUCUCAGUUUUUCCAGAAAUUUUGUUCUUCUUCGUCCACUCACCGUGGAUCUCUCUAGUUUGUUGAAGAAAUCAAAUUGUGGAAUAAAUAAAAAAACAGAGAAAUAAAUACUGCAAGGAAAGUUUCUUACUUCGUCACUUUGACCCAGAAAGCUUUCAGAUUUUCCCGGAAAAGAAAUCUGCUGGAGAAAUUUCAUUGACUGACUUAUGGAUUUGUGAAGAAGCUUGA
rnacentral:lncRNA from 1 species